CCUACGGGCGGCAGCAGUGGGGAAUAUUGCACAAUGGGCGCAAGCCUGAUGCAGCCAUGCCGCGUGUGUGAAGAAGGCCUUCGGGUUGUAAAGCACUUUCAGCGGGGAGGAAGGCGUUAAGGUUAAUAACCUUGUCGAUUGACGUUACCCGCAGAAGAAGCACCGGCUAACUCCGUGCCAGCAGCCGCGGUAAUACGGAGGGUGCAAGCGUUAAUCGGAAUUACUGGGCGUAAAGCGCACGCAGGUGGUCUGUCAAGUCGGAUGUGAAAUCCCCGGGCUCAACCUGGGGACUGCAUUCGAAACUGGCAGGCUAGAGUCUUGUAGAGGGGGGUAGAAUUCCAGGUGUAGCGGUGAAAUGCGUAGAGAUCUGGAGGAAUACCGGUGGCGAAGGCGGCCCCCUGGACAAAGACUGACGCUCAGGUGCGAAAGCGUGGGGAGCAAACAGGAUUAGAUACCCUAGUAGUC
rnacentral:rRNA from 1 species